AACGUAGGACGCAAGCGUUAUCCGGAGUUACUGGGCGUAAAGCGCGGGCAGGCGGUCGGUCAAGUCUGAUGUGAAAUCUCCUCGCUCAACGGGGAGCAGCCAUUGGAAACUGGGCGACUGGAGUCUGACAGAGGUAGGCGGAAUUCCGGGUGGAGUGGUGAAAUGCGUAGAGAUCCGGAGGAACACCAGAGGCGAAGGCGGCCUACUGGGUCAGUACUGACGCUGAGCCGCGAAAGCCAGGGGAGCGAAACGGGG
rnacentral:rRNA from 1 species